AAAAAAAAAACACAGACACAAACUACACAUGCCUCAAAUGGAGGUGUCGUUUUACAACAAUUUAACCAGUCUGUGAUAUAACAUUUAUUAUCCGGUCUCUUUUAUCGGUAUCAUCAGGUAUGAGAUGUAUGUAACAACAAAACUGUAAGCGAGAUCCUUCAUCAAACGCAGAUGCCGAUUUACAGACUUUUAAAAUCGCUGUACUGUUGAUGAAAUUUUCAGAUUCAUCAUGCUGAAAAAAGUUUGGCGGUGGCUGAAGGAUGGAGGACAUGUGUACUUAAUUAUGGUCCUUUCUCUGGCAUACUUAUUAUACUUGUACCUUAAUCGACAUAGUAUUCAGGAAGAAAGUGAAGAAGCAAAUGGAAAUACUCACACAUGGUAUACCGAUUUUGCGGACUUUUUUCUGACUUUUCAAGAUUUUUCAGAAUGAAUUUUUUUUAAUUGAAAAUGGUUUCAAAUUAAAGUUGAAUAAUAUGCAAACAA